CAUAAUGAGCAUAAACAGGUACUUAUUACCUGAAUACAUAGGGUUUUAAGAGCAAACCCGGGGAACUGAAACAUCUAAGUACCCGGAGGAAAGGAAAUCAAUUAGAGACUCUGUUAGUAGCGGCGAGCGAACGCGGACCAGCCAAGCCUGAUAAGUGACCAGAAUGACCUGGAAAGGUCAGCCAUAGUGGGUGACAGCCCCGUAUGGGAAGCUUUGAAGGAUGUAUUAAGUAGGGCGGGACACGUGAAAUCCUGUUUGAAGAUCGGGGGACCACCCCCGAAGGCUAAGUACUCCUUACUGACCGAUAGCGAACCAGUACCGUGAGGGAAAGGUGAAAAGCACCCCGACGAGGGGAGUGAAACAGUACCUGAAACCGAACGCCUACAAUCAGUUGGAGCAUCCUUGCGAUGUGACAGCGUACCUUUUGUAUAAUGGGUCAUCGACUUGGUCUAUCUAGCAAGCUUAAGCCGUUAGGUGUAGGCGCAGCGAAAGCGAGUCUUAAUAGGGCGCAUGAGUUAGAUGGAUCAGACCCGAAACCGAGUGAUCUAGGCAUGGCCAGGUUGAAGAUACGGUAACACGUAUUGGAGGACCGAACCCACAUCCGUUGAAAAGGAUCGGGAUGAGCUGUGCCUAGGGGUGAAAGGCCAAUCAAACUCGGAGAUAGCUGGUUCUCCGCGAAAUCUAUUUAGGUAGAGCGUCAUCCGAAU
rnacentral:rRNA from 1 species